rnacentral:rRNA from 25 species
UCUUGACCUCAGAUCAGGCAAGGCUACCCGCUGAAUUUAAGCAUAUCAAUAAGCGGAGG